GCCAACAUGGCGUAGUGGUUUACGUGUUGGUCUACGACUCCGGAGACCAUGGUUCAUUCCAGUGGGUGACC